UUUCAGAGACAACAGUUCCAGUGGCUAUAGGAGGAUUAAAAGAGAACAAAGGAGGAUAUUGGGGCAUCAGCCUCACAGAAAUGGGUCAGGAAAGUCAUACCUUUGCUUGAUCUUAUGCUAGAUGCUCCUCUGAGUUAAGAGAAAACAAAAACAGAGCAAUACUUGUGAAGAAAAACGUGCUUCUCUUGUCUCAUCUUAGCACUGAAUAUGCUAAUGGCCCUUCCGGACACCUACCUCAAUAGAAACAAUGCUAACCUGAAUGAAUAGAUCCCAGGACAUUCUUUUUGUAAACCCAGUCCAGCCUACAUUCUUUAUUUCAUGUUUUGCCAAACACCAUUACAUUAGAGGUCAUUAGAAACUUGUCAAUAUAUUUAAA
rnacentral:lncRNA from 1 species